rnacentral:rRNA from 1 species
CCUACGGGUGGCAGCAGUGAGGAAUAUUGGUCAAUGGGAGGGAUCCUGAACCAGCCAUGCCGCGUGCAGGACGACGGCUCUACGAGUUGUAAACUGCUUUUGUACCGGGGUAAAAUGCUCUACGAGUAGGGUUUUGAAAGUACGGUACGAAUAAGGAUCGGCUAACUCCGUGCCAGCAGCCGCGGUAAUACGGAGGAUCCGAGCGUUAUCCGGAUUCAUUGGGUUUAAAGGGAGCGUAGGCCGGAUGUCAAGCGUGCUGUGAAAUGUCCGGGCUCAACCCGGGCCUUGCAGCGCGAACUGGCGGGCUUGAGUCCGCGGAAAGCAGGCGGAAUUCGUCGUGUAGCGGUGAAAUGCUUAGAUAUGACGAAGAACCCCGAUUGCGAAGGCAGCUUGCUGCAGCGGAACUGACGCUGAUGCUCGAAAGCGCGGGUAUCGAACAGGAUUAGAUACCCCUGUAGUC